rnacentral:tRNA from 1 species
ACAGCGAUGUCCGAGUGGUAAAGGAGUUUGACUAGAAAUCAAAUGGGCUCUGGGCUCUGCCCGCAUAGGUUCGAAUCCUGUUCGCAGCG